UGAAAAGGUUAACUUGAUCAUCAGAAACCAUGCUACAGUAGUUGAUGAAGGAACUGAUGACCAAAAAGAAAUACUUGGCUACAAACAGAAUGUAUGGAAGAAAUAUUUCUUCUGGCUAUUCGGUUUAGCAACUUUGGGAUUUUUUUGCCUUGUUGUGAAGUGGAAGCCAGAGUGGAAAAUCUGGAGCACGUGUGUGGCUUGUGAUUUGGAUAUUGCUGACACUGUGAUAGUGAAGGAUCUUCAUGGACACAUAAGUGUUGAGAAGGUGGUAGUUAAAUCUGAUAAAAGAUCCUUUCCUGCAAAACUAACUUACGUUACUGGUCAGAACAAUGAAGAAAUUAACUUGGAUGAAACUGUUUCCUUGACUGUGGAACGGCCCGUUUUUUUCCCGCUAUUUCAUACAUCAAUGCUUGAAAUAUGUAUGGGAUGAAAAAAACAGAGAAUUUAAGAGGCUCAGAGGUCUUGAUGAAGGUCUAACUUGCAGUGAUUUUAAUGAAAAAUUUCAUGGACUUUCUGAAAAUCAGCAAAAUGAACUGCAAAAGUUGUAUGGAGAAAAUACAAUUGAUAUUGAAGUGAAGUCAUACUGGAGAUUAUUUAUAGAAGAAGUAA